UGAGCCCAGCGCAUAACCUCCCGGGCUACCAAGCCUGCGGCGGAAUGUUGCGUAAAGGGAAAGGUCGUUUAUAAGCCCUGUGCUACGCGUACCUAAACAUGCAUUGAUCGUGCGUGCAGAGUUCCGCAAGGAUCUCUGUCCUUGUACCACAGAGGGUGUGAGUCCCGUGUGGGCGUGUUCAAUAAGCGCAUGGGUUCGGCCUCUAUUCCCUGAGAGUCGCGUUGCUUGAGCAUGCAGCGCUAAGCAGGUCGUAAAUUCGAUCUAAGGCUAAAUAUUGUCACAGGACCGAAAGCUAACAAGUACCGUAAGGGAAAGUUGAAAAGCACUCUGAAAAGAGAGUGACAAGACCGUGAAACCGUUGAGAGUAUAAGCUGAUGGAGUGUUUUGGCGUUUGCCGGGGCUCUUGAGUUUAUGUGCUUUGGCUAUUUGUGAGAAUCUCUGUGUGUCAUGAGUGUUUGGUAAGGAAGCUCGGUGAGCUCAUUCCUUGAAUGAUAUAUGAUAUAUAUCACUGUAGCGUGUUGCGCUGUAUGUUUCUGUCAUGGUUACUAACACGUACGUUGCACGUUUCUCCUCGGCGCUCGCACAGAGCCUCUACUGUCAUUGCAUGAGUGUGCUCGUGAACUCAGCCCGCUCACCACAACUCUUUGCUUGGUCCCAUGCCACACUCGGAAGAAAAAGACUAUAAACGUGUAUCCUGUGUGCCUCUUGUGUCACGAUCUCUCACAUUGCUGUGUCUCGGUGUCUAGGAGGUUGCAGCUGUGUCGAGUCAUUCGCAACGUUUAUGGUUGUUCUCUUUUAUAUAACGAGUUCAAGUGGUACGGUUGAUCCAUGGUGAAUGAGUACCCGGAGCGAUCAUGCAUCGAGGGAUAUACCCGUCGGCGUGUUAGCCUGGGAUGCAUGGUGACACAAGACCCACACCCAUCGGUCACGUCUCGAAACACGGGCCAAGGAGCAUAGCAUGUGCGCAAGUCCAAGGGUCUGUAAAACCCGGAGGCGAUAGUGAAAGCAAGUGGCGUGCCGUUCUUCGUGCAGCCCCGCGUUGCCUUGAGUUUCUCUUUGGUUUCAUGGUCCUGCUGAAUUACCGAGCUGAUCCGUUCAAUGUCCAGCGUCAGCUGUCAUUGCGGCGCAAGCUCCGGGCUUUGGUCGUGCACGCUUGCGGAAGCGAGUGCCUGUGUGUCGGAGCACCGUUAAGCGUGUAUGCUAUAACCCGAAAGAUAGUGAAMUAUGCCUGGCGA
rnacentral:rRNA from 1 species